rnacentral:rRNA from 1 species
GGGCACUAGGUGUGGGAUCCAUUCCACGGGUUCCGUGCCGCAGCUAACGCAUUAAGUGCCCCGCCUGGGGAGUACGGCCGCAAGGCUAAAACUCAAAGGAAUUGACGGGGGCCCGCACAAGCGGCGGAGCAUGCGGAUUAAUUCGAUGCAACGCGAAGAACCUUACCAAGGCUUGACAUACACCGGAAAAGUGCAGAGAUGUGCUCCCCGUAAGGUCGGUGUACAGGUGGUGCAUGGUUGUCGUCAGCUCGUGUCGUGAGAUGUUGGGUUAAGUCCCGCAACGAGCGCAACCCUUGUCCUGUGUUGCCAGCACGUGAUGGUGGGGACUCAUAGGAGACUGCCGGGGUCAACUCGGAGGAAGGUGGGGAUGACGUCAAAUCAUCAUGCCCCUUAUGUCUUGGGCUUCACGCAUGCUACAAUGGCCGGUACAAAGGGCUGCGAUACCGCGAGGUGGAGCGAAUCCCAAAAAGCCGGUCUCAGUUCGGAUUGGGGUCUGCAACUCGACCCCAUGAAGUCGGAGUCGCUAG